CUACGGAGGGUGCAAGCGUUAAUCGGAAUUACUGGGCGUAAAGGGUUCGUAGGCGGUUAUUUAAGUCAGAUGUGAAAGCCCCGGGCUCAACCUGGGAAUUGCAUCUGAUACUGGGUAACUAGAGUUUAAGAGAGGGAAGUAGGAUUUCAGGUGUAGCGGUGAAAUGCAUAGAGAUCUGAAGGAAUACCAGUGGCGGAGGCGACUUCCUGGCCAAAAACUGACGCUGAGGUGCGAAAGCGUGGGUAGCAAACGGGAUUAGAUACCCGAGUAGUCC
rnacentral:rRNA from 1 species